rnacentral:rRNA from 1 species
UACGGGGGGGAGCAAGCGUUGUUCGGAUUUACUGGGCGUAAAGAGCGCGCAGGCGGUCGUUCAAGUCGAGUGUGAAAGCCCCCGGCUCAACUGGGGAGGGUCACUCGAUACUGAUCGACUCGAAGGCAGAAGAGGGAAGCGGAAUUCCCGGUGUAGUGGUGAAAUGCGUAGAGAUCCGGAGGAACACCAGAGGCGAAGGCGGCCUGCUGGGCUGCACCUGACGCUGAGGCACGAAGGUCAGGGGAGCAAACGGG